rnacentral:tRNA from 1 species
GCAGUCGUGGCCGAGUGGUUAAGGCAAUGGACUAGAAAUCCAUUGGGGUCUCCCCACACAGGUUCGAAUCCUGUCGACUGCG